GUCUAAUACCGGAUAGGAGCGUCCACCGCAUGGUGGGUGUUGGAAAGAUUUAUCGGUUUUGGAUGGACUCCCGGCCUAUCAGCUUGUUGGUGAGGUAAUGGCUCACCAAGGCGACGACGGGUAGCCGGCCCUGAGAGGGUGACCGGCCGCACUGGGACUGAGACACGGCCCAGACUCCUACGGGAGGCAGCAGUGGGGAAUAUUGCACAAUGGGCGCAAGCCUGAUGCAGNNNCGCCGCGUGAGGGAUGACGGNNNUCGGGUUGUAANNNUCUUUCAGUAGGGAAGAAGCGAAAGUGACGGUACCUGCAGANNNNGCACCGGCUAACUACGUGNCAGCAGCCGCGGUAAUACGUAGGGUGCGAGCGUUAUCCGGAAUUAUUGGGCGUAAAGAGCUCGUAGGCGGUUUGUCGCGUCUGUCGUGAAAGUCCGGGGCUUAACCCCGGAUCUGCGGUGGGUACGGGCAGACUAGAGUGCAGUAGGGGAGACUGGAAUUCCUGGUGUAGCGGUGGAAUGCGCAGAUAUCAGGAGGA
rnacentral:rRNA from 1 species